UCGAUAGCAACACUUAUGGGUUAGUGAACUACGCUGAGUUUGUGGUCGUUACUUUACAUGUUAGUCAACUGGAGGAGCAUGACUCUGACCAGUGGGAGUAGUGGUCAUGAGCAGCUUUCGAGAAGUUUGACAUUGCCAGAGAUGGGUUUAUAACAUCUGAGGAACAAAAAAUGAAGCUGGCGUUAAUGAAGAUCGGAGAAUCAGCAUUCAUGAGUUUCACAAACUCUUGAGAUCUGCAAUCCUCCAGGUAAAAAAUAGUCAAAAACCAUCAUGGUUACCAGCUUUCUCGAAAAAUGUAAAUCACUUUCGCAAAUAGAAAUAUGAAUAUUAGAUUUUCUACUCAUAGACACAAAACAUUUGUAACAAUCACCAUAUGAUUCAAGAAGAUCUUAUACAGACUAGAUGUUAUUUUGUAUUUGUUACCAAGGAACACCCAUGUGGUCAGAAGGUUUGGGAUUGUUUUCCCGACUUGAGCAGAUGAUUUUGUAUUUUUUA